rnacentral:rRNA from 1 species
CGGAAGGCAGCAGUGGGGGAUAUUGCACAAUGGAGGAAACUCUGAUGCAGCAACGCCGCGUGAGGGAAGAAGGUUUUCGGAUUGUAAACCUCUGUUAUUAGUGAAGAAACAAAUGACGGUAGCUAAUGAGGAAGCCACGGCUAACUACGUGCCAGCAGCCGCGGUAAUACGUAGGUGGCAAGCGUUGUCCGGAAUUACUGGGUGUAAAGGGUGCGCAGGCGGGACUGUAAGUUGGAUGUGAAAUACCGUGGCUUAACCACGGAGCUGCAUCCAAAACUGCGGUUCUUGAGUGAAGUAGAGGUAGGCGGAAUUCCGAGUGUAGCGGUGAAAUGCGUAGAUAUUCGGAGGAACACCAGUGGCGAAGGCGGCCUACUGGGCUUUAACUGACGCUGAGGCACGAAAGCAUGGGGAGCAAACAGGAUUAGAUACCCUGGUA